CCUUCGGGUGGCAGCAGUGAGGAAUAUUGGUCAAUGGGCGCAAGCCUGAACCAGCCAAGUCGCGUGAGGGAAGACGGCCCUACGGGUUGUAAACCUCUUUUGCCGGGGAGCAAGCCUGAGCACGUGUGCCCAGGCGGAGAGUACCCGGAGAAAAAGCAUCGGCUAACUCCGUGCCAGCAGCCGCGGUAAUACGGAGGAUGCGAGCGUUAUCCGGAUUUAUUGGGUUUAAAGGGUGCGCAGGCGGGAUGUUAAGUCGGCGGUAAAAUUUCGGGGCUCAACCCCGCCGAGCCGUCGAAACUGGCAGUCUUGAGUGGGCGAGAAGUAUGCGGAAUGCGUGGUGUAGCGGUGAAAUGCAUAGAUAUCACGCAGAACGCCGAUUGCGAAGGCAGCAUACCGGCGCCCAACUGACGCUGAAGCACGAAAGCGUGGGUAUCGAACAGGAUUAGAUACCCGGGUAGUC
rnacentral:rRNA from 1 species